GUGAUACUGUGAAGAGCAGAUAGAGAUAAUACUAGCAGCAGAACUGCAAGGUGAAGCUUCAGCCAGGAGAAUCCUGUCGAGAAUCCUGUCUCUUCCCUGGAGGUUGGAUGCCUGGACCCUCCAGCAAAAGGAUAAACACAAAAAGCUGUAGAUAAGAGGACUGAAGACACGCAGGCAGCAAUGAAGGAAGGAUAAAAGAAAAGCCCAGCGUGCAGCAGGAGAAGAGACUACCAGCAAGGUUCCUGUAGAAGGUACAGACAAUAUGAACACACGCCCCAGUCUCGGCGGAUAAACAGCGCAGCCAGGAAACUACAGGAGCCAGAACUGACCUGGUCAGUCCCGCUGCCAGCAAUGCCUACACAUGCUUCUCUAUGCAACCAGGUCCAGCAGCUAAUAAAUGAGGUGGGAAGCCUGCCUGGACGGAGGAUCACUCCAAUAGGUGCAGAGAUCAGCUUUUCCCAGAAUGUUUUUAGGGACAACCCGAACCCAACAGGCAGAGGGAGCAAGAACUUCUGGGAGAGGAACGCAAGGAGUAUUGCAGAAACCUUUCUGCAAGCAGCCCGAAACUUUCCAGCUGCAUUUAAACUCUUUCUGUUUGAAGUGAGUGGUGAAUAUAUACUGCAGAGACUAUUCUGGAAGUGAGAUUAUCACAGGCUGAGGGUAACCGAGAACUCCGGUAUCCUUGUUGAAUUUCAGACUGCACAGUAUAUUUAGAUACUCGUCAUCUUCUAAAGAGAUUGCUAUCCAUUGCCUAAUGGCUAGGAUGCUCACUGGCCCCUGCUACGGUCAGCCGGACAGGGACAUCACCUGCCUGCCCGCUGGAUGCCUUAACCAGGAACAUGGGCUCAUGAUCCAUCUGCUGCCGUGAGCAUCGCCCACAGUCAGGCAGGGGCUAGCUUGAGAUUUUGAGGCUCUAUAUUUGAAUUUAAAUACCUGAAGUCAACCUUUUUGUUUGACUCUCCAUGCCACAGGAGGAGACGAAUUCAGUAUGUUAGGUGUCUGAAAAACAGAAAUCUGUGUCCGAGCUGGUAGGAUUAUCCUCCCUAUUACAGUUAAUCAAGAGGAGGGUUACCUGAAGGCAAUCAGUCAGUCAUCCCUGAUAGGUCAGAUGUCCUUCUGUGGGUACCUAUUUCUUCCCACAAAGUGUAAAGAGAGCGCGGCUGACUAUCUCAGGCAGACAGGAAACCUUUAUUUGCCUAAACUGAA
rnacentral:lncRNA from 1 species